AGUGAACGCUGGCGGUAGGCCUAACACAUGCAGGUCGAACGGCAGCACAGUAAGAGCUUGCUCUUACGGGUGGCGAGUGGCGGACGGGUGAGGAAUACAUCGGAAUCUACUUUUUCGUGGGGGAUAACGUAGGGAAACUUACGCUAAUACCGCAUACGACCUACGGGUGAAAGCAGGGGAUCUUCGGACCUUGCGCGAUUGAAUGAGCCGAUGUCGGAUUAGCUAGUUGGCGGGGUAAAGGCCCACCAAGGCGACGAUCCGUAGCUGGUCUGAGAGGAUGAUCAGCUACACUGGAACUGAGACACGGUCCAGACUCCUACGGGAGGCAGCAGUGGGGAAUAUUGGACAAUGGGCGCAAGCCUGAUCCAGCCAUACCGCGUGGGUGAAGAAGGCCUUCGGGUUGUAAAGCCCUUUUGUUGGGAAAGAAAAGCAGCAGGUUAAUACCCCGCUGUUCUGACGGUACCCAAAGAAUAAGCACCGGCUAACUUCGUG
rnacentral:rRNA from 1 species